rnacentral:rRNA from 1 species
UACGAAGGGGGCUAGCGUUGCUCGGAAUCACUGGGCGUAAAGGGUGCGUAGGCGGGGCUUUAAGUCAGGGGUGAAAUCCUGGAGCUCAACUCCAGAACUGCCUUUGAUACUGAAGAUCUUGAGUUCGGGAGAGGUGAGUGGAACUGCGAGUGUAGAGGUGAAAUUCGUAGAUAUUCGCAAGACCACCAGUGGCGAAGGCGGCUCACUGGCCCGAUACUGACGCUGAGGCGCGAAAGCGUGGGGAGCAAACAGG